rnacentral:ncRNA from 1 species
CGGAUGCGGUAACGCAUUUCGUGCGGCGAGAAGUCAGCAGAGGUCGUAGUAGUGACCCUCGAUUCCCAAUCGAGACGCGAAGGAC